rnacentral:rRNA from 1 species
CACGUAGCUAGCCGGGGCUUCUUACUCAGGUACCGUCAUUCUCUUCCCUGCUGAUAGCGCUUUACAUACCGAAAUACUUCUUCACUCACGCGGCGUCGCUGCAUCAGGGUUUCCCCCAUUGUGCAAUAUUCCCCACUGCUGCCUCCCGUAGGAGUCUGGGCCGUGUCUCAGUCCCAAUGUGGCCGGCCACCCUCUCAGGUCGGCUACUGAUCGUCGCCUUGGUGGGCCUCUACCCCGCCAACCAGCUAAUCAGACGCGGACUCCACUCCACUACCACCGGUAGUUUUCACACAAGAAACAUGCUACUUCCCGUGCGUCUUAUCGCGGUAUUAGCACGUCCCGUUCCGCUGUUACCGUCCCCGGUAGUCGGGCGUAGGUUACUCCACGUCGUUACU